rnacentral:rRNA from 1 species
AGUGAACGCUGGCGGUAGGCCUAACACAUGCAAGUCGAACGGCAGCACAGUAGGAGCUUGCUCUUACGGGUGGCGAGUGGCGGACGGGUGAGGAAUACAUCGGAAUCUACUUUUUCGUGGGGGAUAACGUAGGGAAACUUACGCUAAUACCGCAUACGACCUACGGGUGAAAGCAGGGGAUCUUCGUACCUUGCGCGAUUGAAUGAGCCGAUGUCGGAUUAGCUAGUUGGCGGGGUAAAGGCCCACCAAGGCGACGAUCCGUAGCUGGUCUGAGAGGAUGAUCAGCCACACUGGAACUGAGACACGGUCCAGACUCCUACGGGAGGCAGCAGUGGGGAAUAUUGGACAAUGGGCGCAAGCCUGAUCCAGCCAUACCGCGUGGGUGAAGAAGGCCUUCGGGUUGUAAAGCCCUUUUGUUGGGAAAGAAAAGCAGCAGGUUAAUACCCCGCUGUUCUGACGGUACCCAAAGAAUAAGCACCGGCUAACUUCGUG